rnacentral:rRNA from 1 species
ACGACCCGAAACCGGAUGAUCUAGACAUGGGCAAGGCGAAGCGUGCCGAAAGGCACGUGGAGGCCUGUUAGCGUUGGUGUCCUACAAUACCCUCGCGUGACCUAUGUCUAGGGGUGAAAGGCCCAUCGAAUCCGGAAACAGCUGGUUCCGACCGAAACAUGUCGAAGCAUGACCUCUGCCGAGGUAGUUCGUGGGGUAGAGCGACGGAUUGGGGGACCGCCCUCCGAGAGGAGUGCGCCCCCCUGUCCAACUCCGAACCUACGAACGCCGUUUGACGCAGGGAGUCCGGUGCACGGGGUAAGCCUGUGUACCGUGAGGGAGACAACCCAGAGCUGGGUUAAGGUCCCCAAGUGUGGACUAAGUGCGAUCGAAGGUGGUCCCGAGCCCUAGACAGCCGGGAGGUGAGCUUAGAAGCAGCUACCCUCUAAGAAAAGCGUAACAGCUUACCGGCCGAGGUUCGGGGCGCCCAAAAUGAUCGGGGCUCAAGUCCACCACCGAGACCUAGCCGUACCCGUUACAGGGUAAUCGCGUAGGUCGGCGUUCUGUUCGGGUGGAAGCACGGUCGAGAGAUCGUGUGGACCGUUCAGUAACGAAAAUCCUGGUCAUAGUAGCAGCGUUAGUCGGGUUAGAACCCCGACGGCCGAACGAGUAAGGGUUCCUCAGCAAUGCUGAUCAGCUGAGGGUUAGCCGGUCCUAAGUCUCACCGUAAGUCGAGUGAGUCAACAGGGAAACAGGUUAAUAUUCCUGUGCCAGUGUGCACUCAAAGCUGACGCUUUGGGGCCGCCUGAGCUGGGCUUUCGCCCAGUCGAACCGUCGAAGUUCGUGGAAGCCGUAAUGGCACGAAGCGAGCGAAUGGCGGAAUAGCGCAAGUCAGGUCAACCUAGAGCCCGUGAAAAGGCGAGCACACUGUCCGUACCGAGAUCCGACACAGGUACUCGUGGCGGCGAAAGCCAAGGCCUGUCGGGAUCAACCGACGUUAGGGAAUUCGGCAAGUUAGUCCCGUACGUUCGCAAUAAGGGAUGCCUGCCACGCGAAGUGGCAGGUCGCAGUGACUCGGGCGCUCCAACUGUCUAGUAACAACAUAGGUGACCGCAAAUCCGCAAGGACUCGUACGGUCACUGAAUCCUGCCCAGUGCGGGUAUCUGAACACCCAGUACAAUGGGACGAAGGACCCGUUAACGGCGGGGGUAACUAUGACCCUCUUAAGGUAGCGUAGUACCUUGCCGCUUCAGUAGCGGCUUGCAUGAAUGGAUCAAUGAGAGCGCCACUGUCCCAACGUUGGGCCCGGUGAACUGUACGUUCCAGUGCGGAGUCUGGAGACCCCCAAGGGGAAGCGAAGACCCUAUAGAGCUUUACUGCAGGCUGUCACUGAGACGUGGUCGCCAUUGUGCAGCAUAGGUAGGAGGCGGUACACAGGUACCCGCGCUAGCGGGCCACCGAGCCAGCAUUGAAAUACUACCCGAUGGUGACUGCGACUCUCACUCCUGGCGGAGGACACUGGUAGCCGGGCAGUUUGACUGGGGCGGUACGCGCUUGAAAAGAUAUCGAGCGCGCCCCAAGAUUUCCUCACCCGUGUCGGAGACGCGGGAUAGAGCGCAAGAGCAUACGGAAGUCUGACAGUGUCCGGCCCAACGACGGACGCUGACGCGAAAGCGUGGUCUAGCGAACCAAUUAGGCUGCUUGAUGCGGCCAAUUGCUGACAGAAAAGCUACCUUAGGGAUAACAGAGUCGUCACCCGCAAGAGCACAUAUCGACCGGGUGGCUUGCUACCUCGAUGUCGGUUCCCUCCAUCCUGCCCGUGCAGAAGCGGGCAAGGGUGAGGUUGUUCGCCUAUUAAAGGAGGUCGUGAGCUGGGUUUAGACCGUCGUGAGACAGGUCGGCUGCUAUCUAUUGGGGGUGUUACGGUNCGGUUGUUCGAGAGAGCACGUGCCGGGCAGCCACGCACCACGGGGUAAGAGCUGAACGCAUCUAAGCUCGAAACCCACCUGGAAACGAGGAACCACCGAGGCCACUCCUAGAAGAGGAGUUCGAUAGACUCGGGGUGUACGCGCCAAGGCAACGAGGCGUUGAGCCCGCGAGCACUAA